rnacentral:rRNA from 1 species
AUGAUGGCUCCUGAGUUAGAUAAGCAAUACUCAAACAUCCAGCUGGGAGAAGAAGUGGAGAUAUGUGACAUUAAGCUUGCGCUCAAGGCACUGCGAAAGAAGAUCCUUAGUUUGGAUUUUCAUAACUCCUUGCAUGUUCAUGAUCCACAAAACUCAUUUGAGUACUUAGAAGUGUUGUACAAAUUACGGCAGCUGUCUGAGAAGUUAGGUAAUUUGGACCCUGGUGGAGAAGUAAAAGAGCACAAGGAACUCACCGUAUAUGCUGAUGACCUUUUUGAAAUGGCGAUGGCAAGGCUCGAAGAGGAAUUUGUUUACCUUCUUACGUACUACAAACAGCCGUUAGAACAGGAGCUUCUCUCCUUCCGUUCUACAGAGGAUGGCAGCACGGAUGAAUUUUCAAGCAGCUCAUUCAGUGAGGAACAAAGUGAAGGCAAGUCAACACAAACCGGUAGCAGCGGAGGAUCUGAAUAUUUUGUGGCUGAUUUGAUCCAACCUGGUGCACUCUCUGCUGUCAAGUCCAUUGCCAACUUCAUGUUCCUGAGUGACUACAAUAACGAGUGUUGCCAGGCUUAUAUCAAUGCACGGCAGGGUGCAAUAGAUGAGUUCAUUGGGUCUCUUCACAUCGACAAGCACAGCAUAGAAGAACUUAUGAGCACUAAAUGGAACAAACUGAGCGCAUCGAUAAAGCGGUGGAAUCGGGCAAUGAAGGCUUUUGUCCGAGUCUACCUUGCGAGCGAGAGGCGCCUUAGCAGUCUUGUCUUUGGUGACCUUUCAGAAACAGCUGUAGACCUGUGCUUCUAUGAGAUUUCAUUUAGCUCGGUCAUGCAGCUUCUGACCUUUUAUGAGUCUGUAGCAAUUGGACCUCCUAAACCGGAAAAGCUUUUCCGGAUUCUUGAUAUGUAUGAGGUCCUGGAUGAUUUGCUCCCCGAAGCAGAGUUCUUGUUCCAAGCAGGGGGCAAUGAUAUGGUUUUAGCUGAGUAUCAUGAAGUCCUACUCCAGCUGGGAGAAUCAGCGAGGAAAACAUUUGCGGAAUUCAAGUAUGCCAUCCAAUCCUACACGUCAUCCAGUGCAGUGCCUACUGGUGCAGUGCAUCCCCUCACCAAGUAUGUCAUGAACUAUAUAAAGGCUGUCACUGUUUACAGCAAAACUCUUGAUUCACUGCUGAAGGAUGCGGAUCAACAGCCUAUACCAAACUCAUGCACUCAUUUCACGGCUACAGCAUUGCAUCUGCAGUCUGUUGCUGCAGUUUUAGAAGCAAAUCUUGAAGCCGGGUCUAGAUUGUACAGAGAUUGUCGAUUGCGGAACAUCUUUAUGAUGAACAAUAUCUGCUACAUGGUCCAGAAAGUGAAGAACUCGGAUCUCAAGAGCUUUCUUGGCGACGACUGGAUCCGGCUGCACAACCGGAUGUUUCAGCAUCAGGCGACCAACUACGAGAGGGCGUCGUGGAGUCAGGUGCUGUCUUACCUGAGUGAUGAUGGCUUAUGUGCCGCCGGAGGUGCCGCUUCUCGUAAAAUCAUCAGGGAGAAGUUCAAAAACUUCAACCUGUCCUUUGAAGAUGUUUAUCGAGUUCAGACUGCAUGGUCUGUCCCGGAUGACCAACUCCGCGAAGAUGUCAGGAUUUCCAUAUCACUGAAAGUUAUACAGGCUUACAGGACAUUUGUGGGAAGAUACUCUGCCUUCCUUGAUGGCACCAAGCAGAGAGAUCGCUACAUAAAGUACAGGCCUGAGGAUCUGGAGGAACUUUUGCUGGAUCUGUUUGAAGGAACUCAAAAGUCAUUGCAGCAUUCUGGCCGAGCUUGA